rnacentral:misc_RNA from 1 species
AGGCCUCAUAUCCCUCUCCUGUUGCAGACAUCGGAAAGCCAAUUCUGCAACUGAUGUUGCCAUCUUCCUCACUGCAGAAUCCUUUUCAAAACCAAGACAUGGAUCUAUCAACUCAUUUACUGCAUGAUUUUGGAUUUUGUUAACUGCCAUGUUGGCCAAAUUGAUGUCAAGCCUAUGCCUGUUAGUGUCCACUGCCUGUAAAGAUGAUAUCAGCUCAAUCAAGACCACACCAAAGCUGUAAACAUCGCUCUUAUCUGUGAGUUGGUAGCACUGAUAAUACUCUGG